ACGAUGACGGUGGUGCUUGCACCGCCUGAUUAGUGGCGAACGGGUGAGUAACACGUGAGUAACCUGCCCUCCACUUCGGGAUAACCUCGGGAAAUCGUGGCUAAUACCGGAUACGAGCACUCAUCGCAUGGUGAGUGCUGGAAAGAUUUAUCGGUGGGGGAUGGACUCGCGGCCUAUCAGUUUGUUGGUGAGGUGAUGGCUCACCAAGACGAUGACGGGUAGCCGGCCUGAGAGGGCGACCGGCCACACUGGGACUGAGACACGGCCCAGACUCCUACGGGAGGCAGCAGUGGGGAAUAUUGCAAAUGGGCGAAAGCCUGAUGCAGCGACGCCGCGUGGGGGAUGACGGCCUUCGGGUUGUA
rnacentral:rRNA from 1 species